rnacentral:lncRNA from 1 species
UAUUUCCAAUGUAGCACAUCAGCUGAAGCUAUGAUGGUCUUUUUCAGUCAGGAAGAAACACUUCAUUAUUCUGCAGAUAGCAACCAGUCGCCAGAAAAAAAGCAACAAAACCAAAGAUUCAACUGGGAAGAGGAGUCGCCUUUCAUGACCUUCAGACAACGAGUUCAUGUACAUGAGCACAUCACAAGAAGAAAACCAGGAUUGAGACCACUGAUGCUGCUCUCGCUGUGGCAGAGGUGAAUCGUUCUCCACCAAAAUGUGUGUUGUGCUCCCUCUUCAAGUGCCUUGUGUUGUCAUUGGGAAGCAGCUUGCCAGCUGAAGACUUUAUUCCCAGCCCCAUUUGCAUCAGAAUGUGGCCAAUUAUUUAUACUUACCACUGGAAUGUGAGCGAAAAGACUUCUAGGCACAUGCAGAUCUUUCCCACAUUCUCCCUUUACCCUUCCCUCAUCUGCCACUACUCCUAACCACUAUACUCUAUUGCUUCAUGUAGUAAUAACGA